UGCUUUUGGCUCUGGCAGCGCGGACGCUUGGCGGGGACAAACCCUGGUGAUUCGAGCGCCAUUUGGCACGGGCCCGCGCGUGCGCAGUGGAAUCCCGCCAGAUUACAAAGGGAGGUCGCCAGCUCGGCGCGCAGAUCGCGUGGGGGAGGGGAGAGGGCGUCUCCGCCCCUAACGGGCGGGGGCGGGACGAACGGAGCGGAAGUGGCUGCCGGAAAGGCGAGGAAGAGCGGGUUUCCUUCGACUCGGCUGAGCGGCUUAGACGGGAACUAGUCUCCCGCCUCCGCAGGUUACCUCCCAACCUAGACGGAGAGCGACAGUCGGGUGCGGAGUGAACCCGCUCCGGUUACGCCAGCUCCCGAGUGACAGGCAGGAAAUAGGUGCAGCAGGCAGCCUUUAACCGCCAUGUUUUCGGACUCCUAAGAAACCGCGCGAGGCAGAGCCCAGCAGGACCUCGUGGCGCAACGGUAGCGCGUCUGACUCCAGAUCAGAAGGCUGCGUGUUCGAAUCACGUCGGGGUCAUAGUUUUUCGUAUUUUUUUUCUUUUUAAAUUCACUAGUCUAAUGUGAACCGAGAUGUGUUCCCGCCACUUUUAAAAAAUGCUUUUCGUGCUCUAAAGCUUCCUUCAAAAGUUACCGUACUACUUUAAUUGCUGAAAAAUAAGGCUUACCAAACAUUGUAGCGUCUGAAGGCUAGCUUUAGGCCUUGUAAAGUGAAGUGGUUUGUUUUGUGUGUGUGUGUACACAAUGCCUUCAGAACUGGUCUUUCUGCUCUGCCUUAGGCUUCUGAACCCGUUGUGAUUUUUCAUAGCAAUCAUACAAUAGUUGGGGUACAGACUUUAAUACACACAAAAAAACCUUAUUUGCCUUUUGAAAACAAGGUCCCAUACAAUUUAUAAAACCGGUUUUGAGCAGCAGAAAACAGUUAUAUUUUAAGCCACUGGGUGCCAAAUGUUGGCGUAAGUGCGGUGAGAGAAACAUAAAUUGGAAUGGAGUUACAGAACAGAGAACAGCUCUGCCCUGGGUCAAGAUAGCACGUCACGAGGUGAUUCUAUCUGCAUCAAAAAGGUGAGAUUUUUGUUCAAAUGAAAUAUGUCCGGUUUAAGCUAAGAUAAAGAAAUAUUGUGACUCUAGGUGCAAAAUGGGAGAAAGGUUAAACACUGAAUUGUAUAUUCAAAAACUUGGUAUUGGAGCCCUGACCCACGCCCAUCCCCAUCUUCUAACUGGGAGUGUGGCCGUUAGGAGACAGGGCUUUUACAGAGUUGAUUAAGUCAAACUGAGGUUAUUAGAUGGAAUCCUAAUGCAGUCUGACUGGCGGCGUGCUUUUGGACAGGUCUAGGACGUGCGCGCAGAAAGUUGCUCAGCUAGAACAAGAAGGCAGCCACCCUCUAAUGAAAACAGUGUUGCCUACUUCUACAGAGAAAGGGAAAGGGCUGGGGAGGUAAAUGAGAGGCAGGUCAGACAGGACCUUGUGUCCUUCUGAUUCAUUCUGAGGGAAAUGCAGAGCUCUUACCAGAAUUCAAGGCUUUGAUUCACGACUUUGACCAGAUCACAAAGAACAUAAAACAUGGCCUGGACUUUUUCUGGACUGCACCCUGAGAAUAAGAGAAGAUAAAGCUGGAGGUCUGGUUUACCAUACAAGUUAAGAGGACUGAAUAAAGCCCAGAAUAGCAAAAUACCAUCUAGGCCAUAAAGUAGCAGUGUUCUGUUUUCUGUUGUGGUUGUGUUGCUGUAAUAAAACGCUCUGACUGAAAGCAAUUUGGGGAAGGAAAGGGUUUAUUUCAACUUACAACUUACAGUCAGUGAUUGGGGAAAAUCAGGGCAGGAACUCAAGGGAGGAACUUGAAGCAAAACUACAGAGAAACGCUGCUUGCUGGAGUCCUCAGGUUCAUGCUUAGAUUUCUUACACAGCCCAGGACCACCUGCCUAGGGAAUGGAACCACCAACAGUGGGCCUGGGCUGCCCUCAAUCCCUUACCAAGGUAGUUCAUCCCAGCCAGUUCCAUAGGCUAGUGUGAUUCAGGCAGUUCCUCACUGGGUGAGACUCUCCUCUCAGAUGAUUCUAGGCUUUGUGGAAUUGACAAAGCUAACUUGGCAAUGUAUGUACCUGACUACUUUUGUUUGCUUGCUUGCUUGCUUGUUUGUUUGUUUGUUUGAGACAGGAUCACACUGUGGCUCUGGCUAUCUUGGAACUAACUCUCUGUGUAGACCAGGCUGGCCUCAAACUCACAUAUCUACCUGCCUAUGCCUCCAGAAUGCUGGGAUUAAAGGGAUGUGCCACACUUGGCCAAUUAUUCUCCUCUGCUAAAAUUUCCACUCAACAGUCGCAGCUGUCCCGUCCCCGUCCCCGUCCCCCCCCCCCCCCCGUCCCCCACAAAAGUUGGGUCUGUGUAGUUUCUUAGAAUGGCUAAUUGGAUGAUAGUAUAAUUUUUAAUUUAGAGCAAUCUAACACUGCUUUUUUGUUUUGUUUUUUGGGUUUUGGCUUUUUCGAGACAGAGUUUCUCUGUGUAGCCCUGGCUGUCCUGGAACUCACUUUGUAGACCAGGCUGGCCUCGAACUCAGAAAUCCGCCUGCCUCUGCCUCCCGAGUGCUGGGAUUAAAGGCGUGCACCACCACCAUGCCUGGCCUAACACUGCAUUUUAACUAGUUUUGAUUUAUUAUAUAGGGAUGACGUGGAGAGAAACUCAAAAACACUAAAUUCAAACUUCCAUAUUUGAGUCUUAAGUCACAUUUAUUUAUUUGUUUGUUUGUUUAUUUAUUUGUAAGAUUUAUUUGUGUAUGGUGGGGAGCGUGCCUUUGGUGACAUAGAGGGCUUCAAGACGCCUCCAUCUGAAGGAACAGGCUGUGCAAUGCUUCACAUGGAUUCUGGAAGAACAUCAAGCACUCUUAACCACUGAGCCAUCUCUCCGACCCCUGAAUUUUCAUGUACUAGCUUUCUGGCAUUGUGCUUGUUCAUUAAAAAAAAAAGUCUAUUAUUAUUUAUCCUAAAAAGGGAUUUAUCUUCUAAUACAGUAUAAUCUGGUUAUAUGUUCACCUAAUUAAUAACCUUUCUUCUGAGAUUAUUUUUAAGUCAAUUACUUUAAACAGAUACUCUCUGGAUGAGUUGAUUAAACAUUUUUUUUUUUAAUGUGCAACAUUGAAGACAUACUUUGAAUACUGAUUAGCUAAGUGGGCCUUUAAUUUUUCAGGG
rnacentral:lncRNA from 1 species